UGGUCCUGCUUCACGAGGGACACUCGCUGCACUGAAGCAAGCAAGGAAGAGGUUCGUCCCUCAAGCGAACCACAGCCCGCAGGCGCUUGCCGUGGGUGAAAAGGGAAACUUUUACGAUGGAGUGUAACAAGUAGCACGAGAAGAGCUCCUCAGCGGACCUUGGACUGCAAAGUAACUCCCGGUCGAUGAGUGGUUGCCCCUGAAAAAAUAUGCCCCAGCCGAGCCACCUCAGCCCCGGCUUCAGUCGCGAAUUGCCCGUGUUUUAAGCAGCUAUCCGAGACGUUCGCCUGCAUCCGUCGGGUUAGUGUAAAAUAUAUCGAUUUUUUUUUUUUUUUUUUUUAACCUGUGAAGUUGGUCAUCCAGUCCACGUACCACCUGCGAGAGAUAGCAUGGCUGGGAAGCCAACAACAUUACCAGGCACGGGAAUACUGCUGGUGACAGCCAACGUUGGAUCCCUGUUCGAGGAUCCUAAAAAUCUACAGAAAACAUGGCUGAGGGAGUUUUACCAGACAGUUCAGUCACAUAAGCCUCAUUUCUUAGCUGUGCACUGUCAAGAAGUGGGUGGGAAGAAUUAUGAGGCUUCCAUGUCACAUGUGGAUAGUUUCGUCAAAGAGCUAUUGUCCAGUGAUGCCAUGAAGGAGUACAGCAGUGCUCGUGUCUACCUCGAUGAAAACUACAAGUCCCAGGAACAUUUCACAGCUUUGGGAAGUUUCUACUUCAUUCAUGAGUCUUUGAAAAACAUCCAGCAGUUUGAUUUCAAAGCAAAGAAAUUCAGGAAGGUGGUUGGGAAAGAAACCUGCUCCGAGACACUAGAAACCACCCCCUCGUUGGAAAAGGAGAAGUUUCCACAGGACUAUUUUCCUGAGUGCAAGUGGUCCAGAAAAGGAUUCAUUAGAACUCGAUGGGCCCUACCGGACUGUUGUUUUGACCUGGUAAACAUCCACCUUUUCCAUGAUGCUUCCAAUUUGGUGGCCUGGGAGAAGAGCCCUUCAGUCUACUCUGGAACAAGGCAGAAGGCGCUAGGCUAUGUUCUAGACAGGAUCACGGACCAGCGGUUUGAAAAGGUGCCAUAUUUCGUCUUUGGGGACUUUAACUUCAGGUUGGACUCAAAACAGGUGAUUGAGACUCUCUGUUCCUCCGCUACCAUGCAGACAGUAAGAACCACGGACACCAAUGAAGUUGACAAGUUAAUAUUUCGAGAAAGUGACAACGACAGAAAAGUCAUCCUUCAGCUUGAAAAGAAGCUUUUUAGUUACGUCAACCAAGACGUUUUUCGGGAAAACAAUGGGACCUCGCUUUUAGAGUACGACAAAGAGCUGUCAGUGUUCAAGGAUCGACUGCAUGAAUUGGAAAUAUCAUUCCCACCCAGUUACCCUUACAGUGAAGACUGCAGUCAGGGAAAGCAAUACAUGAACACCAGAUGCCCUGCCUGGUGUGACCGAAUCCUCAUGUCUUCAUCUGCCAGAGACCUGGUCUUUAAGCCAGAAAAUGAGGAGAAGUCUCUGGUCUACGAUAACAUCGGGGCCAAUGUCUGCAUGGGGGACCACAAGCCUGUCUUCCUGUCCUUCCUAAUAACAGCAGGGGCAGGUAAACGUAACGCAAAUAAGCACAAGUGUUGUGUGGUGCAGUGAUGUCGUGUUUUACGGUACACUCCAACUGGGGUGUCAAACAGCUAUAAGCACGCUUGGAGGAAGCCCGAAAAAUACACGUCACACGCUUACUGCAAGCAACACGGGUAAUUGAUGCCAAAGGGGGGGGACAAUACAUUCUGUGAAGCGUCUCUGUGUGAACACAUGGAGACACACACACACACACACACUCACGUGCAAACACAAGCAUGCACAUCCACUUUGCACAAGCGUCCACUUCCGAAGAACCUAUCCAAACUUUUCCAGCAGUCCUCUCAGCUCAUUCAAUUAAAAGCACGUCAUUUUUGCCUCUCCAUAAAACACUCCUUGAAAAUGCGGCCCGGCACCCGAGGGUGGCGAGGGCCGAGCUCCAGACGAGACACACAUCGCUGACCUCACCGUUGCCAUGCAACCACUCCACACUGCCCCACACAUCACCCCACACCCCUCCGAGAACGAAAAAAAGAUGGGACGGCCUAAUUCUUGCCAAAACUCUAAUUGACAAAUCAGUCGUGCUACAUAUAAUUGCCAUUUUUUUUGAGGGGGGGGGCUGCCUUUGUCUCCACAGUAUGUCUGAUUGGUGAACCUGACAAGUGUUUAAAGAAAAAAAAAAGUGCAAUGCAAAAGACAUAUCUAUAUGGAUAAGUUCAUUUGUACGUUGGAAUGUUUCCAAUUAGGCAUGUUUUUGGUUUUAGUGCUCUUUUUGUUUUGGAAUAUCUUUUCAAUUUUAGCGUUUCUAUAUAAAUAUAACUUGUGAUUUUUUUUUUUCCUCCCCCCUCACCCCACUGCCAUACCUGACUACAUUAUUUGAGUCUUGUUUUAUAUACUGUACCUUUUAAAGCCAGACAAUUUAUAAUUCUUGUGUGUUUUGGAGCUCCUUGCAGCCAUGUUGACCUUUGAGGGAGAGCGAGAGAGGGAUUUUUAUUCCUUUCCAAGAAUGUUUUAAAACAGUGCCAUAUAGACCAUGCAAAGUGUAAUAAGAUUUCAUAUAUAGCACACUCACAUAUUGCAUUAUUGUCAUUCUUACUCUAAUUUAUUUUGACUUAAUAAUAAUAAUAUGGUUCUGAAUGUAAUUUUAGGUAGGCGUGGGUGUCCUUUUGUCAAUUUUGUUACUGCUGUUAUGGUGCCAAGUACACACAGAUGAAAGGUGAAAAUUAUGUUUAAAUAAGGAACAAAAAACAGUACAUGCAAGAAAAGACCAAGUGAAAAGAAUGUGGUUUUAUUUGUGUUCAAUGUAGCCUGCAAGUCUAAAAGCAAAGAGGAAAAAAAUGUUAUGUGACUGCUUGUUUUGUUUUUAUUAUUCAAAUUUAUUACACUACACGUGUUAAGUCAUUAGAUCGAUCCUCUGUGAUUUUUUUUUAAUUACUGUAAUAAUGUUAUGCCUGCUGCAGAGUUUGUUUUGAUUUGAAUUAUUAAGCAAACUGGUAGGGGAAAAAAACGAAGUUUUUGUUUGUUUGAUUUUUUUCCUGCUGCUCGUUGUGAGUUUACUGUAGGAAUAUUAAGCCGCAGUUUUCCUUCACUCCAUUUGACAGUAUAAAAGCAAAUCGAGAUUUUAUUCCAGCCCCUGUGGCCAACAGGUGAUGACGCACUUGUUAAGCAAUAAACUACAUUAGCGCUCACUCUGUA